GAGUAAAACUCAUAUUUUUAUUUGGAAAACAUAAUUUCUGAUAAGUCCCAGUUUAUUUCCCUCCAUCCCACCAAAAGUCAAUAUUGAAUUAAAGAGAUAAUAGUUUUGAUAAGAUACACGUGGAAAAUAGCCAAGACUUCCCACCAGUGACAAUGACUGUAAUCGAACACUAAUUCCUGUAAUUUAUGACAUUUUUUCCUGUAAUCAAAAAAAUCCCCUCCCCCCCUUUAAAUCAAAUUCAACGAUAACACAUGUACCAUAAUACUGUCUGCGAUCUCAAAAUAAAUUCCGGGGUAACGAGUUCAUCGGCCUCAUUAAUCCCUAAAAAGCCCUCUCGCUAAAAAAAAUUUGAAAAAUAAGACGAAGCAAACAGUGACGCCAACAGCUGCGCGAUAUUAAUUCACGCGAAUGCAGAAUGAUCGAUCGAGUGAAUCGCGAUAACGUAGAAAUUACGAUUGGGGUCGACUGCCCCCCCUCCCUCCCCCCGAAUAUGAUGAAUGUCCUCCGUCAAAUGUGUGAGAUUACCCUGUCAGUUAUCACAAUCGUUUUCAAUCAUUAUAAAAUUCUCCUAGACAUGCAAUUUACUCCAUCUAUCCAAAAGAUAAUGAAAACGAACUUAUGCAUGUGCCCUGAAAUUGUUGGAAGUGACUAAUUUCACCUCGUUUGCGGACAAAAUUGUAUAGACACGGUAAUCUGUACCAACAAUUUCAACAUUAUAACAAUAUAAUAACGUAUAUAGAGGCGAGAUAAUGACCAGUGUUGUCAGUAGUUCUCUGUCUUAACCAUUGAAUUUGAUAAAACGUAAUAUUCUGGGUAAUGUGGCGCUUGUUUCUGCAGCUGGACCCUCAUGUCCUACAUUUACAGGAUUUCAACAAUAACGGUUUAAUAACAAAUCUGGAUAAUUACCAUGGCCGAAUGUGGUGUACUGUCAUCGCUGUCCUCACUCGUUGUCGUAUUAUUGUUCUCAGCCGGUGGAUUUUGCUGUAUAGCUGGUGGACUACCACCCGGUGGACUUCUGUACUGCAUCUGCUGCUGUUGAUGCUGAUUCUGCAUCUGUUGAUGCUGAGUGUGAACAUAUUGCAUGUGCAUUUGUACCUGUUGCUGAUGCUGGGCGUGCUGCUGUUGCUGUGCUUGAUUGUGCUGUUGUUGUAAUAAAAGCAGCUGCUGGCCACUGUGCUGGUGGCCAGGAGAGCUCAUUGACGUGUACGACGCCUGUGGGCUUGUGUACGCUGAACUAUAAUGAGAGAAAUUAAAUUAUUAUGAUUGA